rnacentral:rRNA from 1 species
GACAGAGGUGCCGAGCGUUAGGCGGAAUCACUGGGCUUAAAGCGCGUGUAGGCGGAUGGGUAAGUACCUUGUGAAAUCCCACGGCUCAACCGUGGAACUGCUCGGUAUACUGCUCGUCUUGAGCCAACUAGGGGCGACCGGAACAAACGGUGGAGCGGUGAAAUGCGUAGAUAUCGUGUGGAACGCCGAUGGUGAAAACAGGUCGCUGGGGUUGUGCUGACGCUGAGACACGAAAGCCAGGGGAGCGAACGGG